rnacentral:rRNA from 1 species
UACGUAGGGGGCAAGCGUUGUCCGGAAUCAUUGGGCGUAAAGCGCGCGUAGGUGGCCCAGUAAGUCCGUUGUGAAAGUCAAAGGCUCAACCUUUGAAAGCCGAUGGAUACUGCUGGGCUCGAGUCCGGAAGAGGCGAGUGGGAUUCCUGGUGUAGCGGUGGAAUGCGCAGAUAUCAGGAGGAACACCAAUAGCGAAGGCAGCUCGCUGGGACGGUACUGACACUAAGGCGCGAAAGCGUGGGGGGCGAACAGG